UGCAGUGGAUUAGGCUAUCAAAUCGCUCAUUUGAACAGUAACAGUAGUCCACUUCAUUCGUGGUUUUAAAUAUAGUUGUUUCUGGCCUACCCACGAGAGGUUCAGUUUGUCAGUUUCACUUGCGCAGACAUGUAGGCCUAUAUUUAAAAUCU